rnacentral:rRNA from 1 species
AUUGAACGCUGGCGGCAUGCUUUACACAUGCAAGUCGAGCGGCAGCGCGGGGGCAACCCUGGCGGCGAGCGGCGAACGGGUGAGUAAUGCAUCGGAACGUACCCUGGAGUGGGGGGAUAACGCCGCGAAAGCGGCGCUAAUACCGCAUAUGCUCUGAGGAGGAAAGUGGGGGGACCUGCAAGGGCCUCACGCUCUGGGAGCGGCCGAUGUCCGAUUAGCUAGUUGGUGGGGUAAAGGCUUACCAAGGCGACGAUCGGUAGCUGGUCUGAGAGGAUGAUCAGCCACACUGGGACUGAGACACGGCCCAGGACUCCUACGGGAGGCGAGCAGUGGGGAAUUUUGGACAAUGGGGGCAACCCUGAUCAGCCAUGCCGCGUGAGUGAAGAAGGCCUCGGUUGUAAG